rnacentral:rRNA from 1 species
GUAGGUGGCAAGCGUUGUCCGGAAUUAUUGGGCGUAAAGCGCGCGCAGGCGGUCCUUUAAGUCUGAUGUGAAAGCCCACGGCUCAACCGUGGAGGGUCAUUGGAAACUGGGGGACUUGAGUACAGAAGAGGAAAGCGGAAUUCCAAGUGUAGCGGUGAAAUGCGUAGAGAUUUGGAGGAACACCAGUGGCGAAGGCGGCUUUCUGGUCUGUAACUGACGCUGAGGCGCGAAAGCGUGGGGAGCAAACAGGGAUUAGAUACCCUGGUAGUCCACGCCGUAAACGAUGAGUGCUAAGUGUUAGGGGGUUUCCCGCCCCUUAGUGCUGCAGCUAACGCAUUAAGCACUCCGACUGGGGAGUACGGCCGCAAGGCUG